rnacentral:lncRNA from 1 species
CUUUGUUUAUGCAAUUACUAGUAAGCAAUUUUGCAUUGACGUUUUGUUCAUUUUCCUUGUUUUGUGAUAAGCUCAAUCAAAAUUGUUUUAGGUUAGAAAUUACUUGUAGAAAUAGUUAACUUGUAGUUGUCAUUUACUUGAACAGGGGUUUAAAAGUUAGUUAUACACCACAUGACCCUUAUGUGACAAGAAUAUUUGAAUAUAAGUAAAACCAUGACGUUGACUAACUAUUGUUCUAUUCUUAAAACUUUUGGAACAGUAUCAAAAAGCAGCAAUAUGUUUAGAUAUAAACAUGUCAAUUACAUUGAUAAUAUAAAUGGCGAUAAUUCUUUGUAAUAACAGUGUUGUAAUGUGUUUUCGAUACACUAACGAGGUCAAGGUUCAUAAUGCAUACCCAGAAUAAGGGAAACAACUCUUUAAAAUCAGUGAUACGCUUUUGACAUCAUUAUUUUGGUUAACAUAUUAUAAGCUUCUAAGUAACACUGAUAAAUUAACUUCUGUUUAACGUGAGUAAUUUAAAACCGUAGUAGAGUUAGACUAUGUCAAAUGCAUCACUGAUUUCAGUUUUAUCUCAUUCCACCUAUAAUUUUUUA